rnacentral:rRNA from 1 species
UACGUAGGGUGCGAGCGUUGUCCGGAAUUAUUGGGCGUAAAGAGCUCGUAGGCGGUGUGUCACGUCGUUCGUGAAAACCUGCAGCUUAACUGUGGGCGUGCGGUCGAUACGGGCAUCACUGGAGUUCGGCAGGGGAGACUGGAAUUCCUGGUGUAGCGGUGAAAUGCGCAGAUAUCAGGAGGAACACCGGUGGCGAAGGCGGCAUCCUGGACCAACACUGACGCUGAUGCGCGAAAGCUAGGGGAGCAAACGGG